GACGAACGCUGGCGGCGUGCUUAACACAUGCAAGUCGAACGCUGAAGCUCAGCUUUUGUUGGGUGGAUGAGUGGCGAACGGGUGAGUAACACGUGAGUAACCUGCCUCCUUCUUUGGGAUAACGCCCGGAAACGGGUGCUAAUACUGGAUAUUCACUGGUCUUCGCAUGGGGGUUGGUGGAAAGGGUUUUUCUGGUGGGGGAUGGGCUCGCGGCCUAUCAGCUUGUUGGUGGGGUGAUGGCCUACCAAGGCUUUGACGGGUAGCCGGCCUGAGAGGGUGACCGGUCACAUUGGGACUGAGAUGCGGCCCAGACUCCUACGGGAGGCAGCAGUGGGGAAUAUUGCACAAUGGGCGCAAGCCUGAUGCAGCGACGCCGCGUGAGGGAUGGAGGCCUUCGGGUUGUGAACCUCUUUCGCUCAUGGUCAAGCCGCAACAAUGGUUGUGGUGAGGGUAGUGGGUAAAGAAGCGCCGGCUAACUACGU
rnacentral:rRNA from 1 species